GCUGACCUCACAUUCACCAGAGAUUACUUAAGCUUUGACCUUGACGUGAUUUGAACACUCAAUCUUCUGAUCUGGCGUCAGACGUGCUACCAUUGUGCCACAAGGUCACUCUUUUCAGAAAACAAAACAUAUUUAAAGCUGCAGUAGGUAAUUUUCAUGAAAAUUGUUGUAUUACGUUUGCUGAAAAUUUCACUAUAGCCUGACAGCAGUACAUGAGACAGUUAAUCUGUGUAAAAAUCAGGUUCCUCUGGCUCGUUCUAGUGCUCCUUCUAGUGCUCCUAAUGGCAUUUGCAAGAAUCCACGGGGCCUGAACUGAAAAAGGGAUGUAACAGCAUGAUAAAUGUGACCACACAUACGAUAUGUUUUAUAUUUUUAUUUUAUUUUUAUUUAACCUUUAUUUAACCAGGAAAAGUCCCAUUGAGUUACAGUAACUCUUCUCCCAGGGAGUCCUGGCCAAGACUGGCAGCAAAAAGUUUAAAAAAAAAAAAAAUACAGAAAAGACAGGACAAAGGUUACAUACUACACCACAAAUCUCUGUACAUACACUAUACGUACUAGAACACAAACAAGACAUUACACUUAACGCAACCUAACACAGACAUACAACUUAAAGGGCACCUAAUUAAAAACAAUUACACUAUUCUGUCAAAGUUGACUUUAAAAGGUUUUUAAAAGUAUAGAGAGGUGGAAGUGAUUCUAGAUUUAGGGUGUUUUGAAAUUCAUUCCAGACAUUUGGUGCAUAUGAUGAGAAAGCUGUUUUACCAAGUUCUGUUCUUGUUGAUGGAAUAACUAAUAGUAUUUUUUCUGACGACCUUGUCCUGUAAACACUAUUAUGGUAAGAAAGCAAAUUUGAAAUGUAGAGGGGUAAUUUACCCAUUAGAGCUUUAGCAAUGAAAAUCAAUAAAUAGAAUUUCCUUCUGAGGGAGAGGGAGGACCAUUGUACAGUUUCAUACAGAAUGCAGUGGUGAGUCCUGGCUGCUGCACCUGUAAUGAAACGCAAGGCUGAGUGGUAUAAUACAU
rnacentral:lncRNA from 15 species